GUGAGGAAUAUUUGACAAUGGGCGCAAGCCUGAUCCAGCCAUGCCGCGUGCAGGAAGACGCAUCUAUGGUGUGUAAACUGCUUUUGUACGGGAAGAAACACUCCCUCGUGAGGGAGCUUGACGGUACCGUAAGAAUAAGGAUCGGCUAACUCCGUGCCAGCAGCCGCGGUAAUACGGAGGAUCCAAGCGUUAUCCGGAAUCAUUGGGUUUAAAGGGUCCGUAGGCGGUUUAAUAAGUCAGUGGUGAAAGCCCAUCGCUCAACGAUGGAACGGCCAUUGAUACUGUUAGACUUGAAUUACAAGGAAGUAACUAGAAUAUGUAGUGUAGCGGUGAAAUGCUUAGAUAUUACAUGGAAUACCAAUUGCGAAGGCAGGUUACUACUUGUGGAUUGACGCUGAUGGACGAAAGCGUGGGGAGCGAACAGGAUUAGAUACCCCUGUAGUCC
rnacentral:rRNA from 1 species